UAUGAGCUGCAAUUUAUUUGUUUAGAACCCACUAGAUAAUGUCGCAAUAUUACUAAAAAAAUAAACCGCAGAGGCUACAUACCUACCGCAUAAAAACAUAGCUGGUUUUUCACUAACCUAGUCUAAGCUAAAUAAACUGAAAAAAAGAAAAUACUCCAGCCCUCAGUUAUACAACUAAAUCGAGGACAAGCCCGAUUUACCUACCUUAUUAAAAAAAAACAAAAAAAAAAGUAGGCCCAAAACCAGCCACCCAAAAAAUCGUCACAGUUAAAAAAAAAUAAAAAUAAAAAAAAAGAUAAAAAUAAAUGAAAUAUUAUAUAAAACCCAAUUAAUAAAAACCUAUGCAAAGAUAAGUAUUAAAUAUAAAACCCACCCAAAACUCCUACAUAUGCGAGGAAGGAACUCGGCAAAUAUAUACUCCGCCUGUUUAACAAAAACAUCGCCUGCUGAACCCCCAUAACAGGUAAAUCCUGCCCACUGAACUCUUUAACGGCCGCGGUAUACUGACCGUGCAAAGGUAGCAUAAUCACUUGCCUUUUAAUUGGAGGCUGGCAUGAAUGGAUACACGAGAGUACAGCUGUCUCCCUCACAAACAUAAAAAUUUAUCCCUAGGUGAAGAAGCCUAGAUCUAUAUAAAAGACAAGAAGACCCUGUCGAGCUUCAACCCCAAUAGCCAAAAUUACCCACAAUAAUAUAUGCUAAUAAAGGUUUUUGUUGGGGCAACAAAGGAACAAAAAAAUCUUCCUAAAAACAAAAGAUAAUAAAUCUCCCAAAUGACCCAAUACUUGAUCACUAAAAUCAGCUACCGCAGGGAUAACAGACUAAUUUUCCCCAAGAGCCCAAAUCUACAGGAAAGCUUGGCACCUCGAUGUUGGCUUAGGAUAUCUUUUAGGCGGAGAAGCCUAAAAAGAAGGUUUGUUCAACCUUUAAUCUCCUACAUGAG
rnacentral:rRNA from 1 species